rnacentral:rRNA from 1 species
UACGUAGGUGGCAAGCGUUGUCCGGAUUUAUUGGGCGUAAAGGGAGCGCAGGCGGUGACUUAAGUCUGAUGUGAAAGCCCACGGCUCAACCGUGGAAGGUCAUUGGAAACUGGGUCACUUGAAUAUAGAAGAGGAAAGUGGAAUUCCAUGUGUAGCGGUGAAAUGCGUAGAGAUAUGGAGGAACACCAGUGGCGAAGGCGGCUUCCUGGUCUGUAACUGACACUGAGGCGCGAAAGCGUGGGGAGCAAACAGGAUUAGAUACCCCCGUAGU